AUACGUAGGGAGCGAGCGUUGUCCGGAAUUACUGGGUGUAAAGGGAGCGUAGGCGGGAUGGUAAGUCAGAUGUGAAAAUUAUGGGCUCAACCCAUAAACUGCAUUUGAAACUACUGUUCUUGAGUGAAGUAGAGGUAAGCGGAAUUCCUAGUGUAGCGGUGAAAUGCGUAGAUAUUAGGAGGAACAUCGGUGGCGAAGGCGGCUUACUGGGCUUUUACUGACGCUGAGGCUCGAAAGCGUGGGGAGC
rnacentral:rRNA from 1 species